AUAUACUCAAAUUCGCCCUCAAUGCAAUUUGAGUUCGGCGUAUGUUUCAGAUAAGCGGUCUGGGUUUGGGUCUUGCGCGACGGAAAUCCACGAACCGUGUCAGGUCGGGAACGAAGCAGCACUAAGAGGAAUCUUCCGGGUGCCGCAAGGGUGCCUGGGUCCGGCCGCUUAUUUGAGAUAUAUGCUUUUAAGUUGCAUUGAGGGUAU
rnacentral:misc_RNA from 1 species